AGCGAACGCUGGCGGCAGGCUUAACACAUGCAAGUCGAGCGGGCAUCCUCGUGGUGUCAGCGGCAGACGGGUGAGUAACGCGUGGGAACGUGCCCUUCGGUUCGGAAUAACUCAGGGAAACUUGAGCUAAUACCGGAUACGUGCUUUUGCAGAAAGGUUUAUCUGCCGAAGGAUCGGCCCGCGUCUGAUUAGCUAGUUGGUGAGGUUACGGCUCACCAAGGCGACGAUCAGUAGCUGGUCUGAGAGGAUGAUCAGCCACACUGGGACUGAGACACGGCCCAGACUCCUACGGGAGGCAGCAGUGGGGAAUAUUGGACAAUGGGGGCAACCCUGAUCCAGCCAUGCCGCGUGAGUGAUGACGGCCUUAGGGUUGUAAAGCUCUUUUCUCCGGGACGAUAAUGACGGUACCGGAGGAAUAAGCCCCGGCUAACUUCGUGCCAGCCGCCGCCGUAACAC
rnacentral:rRNA from 1 species